GAUGAACGCUGGCGGCGUGCUUAACACAUGCAAGUCGAACGGAAAGGCCCAAGCUUGCUUGGGUACUCGAGUGGCGAACGGGUGAGUAACACGUGGGUGAUCUGCCCUGCACUUCGGGAUAAGCCUGGGAAACUGGGUCUAAUACCGGAUAGGACCACUUCUUGGAUGUUGUGGUGGAAAGUUUUUUCGGUGUGGGAUGAGCUCGCGGCCUAUCAGCUUGUUGGUGGGGUAAUGGCCUACCAAGGCGUCGACGGGUAGCCGGCCUGAGAGGGUGUACGGCCACAUUGGGACUGAGAUACGGCCCAGACUCCUACGGGAGGCAGCAGUGGGGAAUAUUGCACAAUGGGCGCAAGCCUGAUGCAGCGACGCCGCGUGGGGGAUGACGGCCUUCGGGUUGUAAACUCCUUUCGCUAGGGACGAAGCGUUUUGUGACGGUACCCGGAGAAGAAGCACCGGCUAACUACGUG
rnacentral:rRNA from 1 species